UUAAGAGUGCCUGAUAAAAGGAUUAUUUUGAUAGAAUAAAAAAUGUGAAAUUCAUCUCUUUAA
rnacentral:tRNA from 1 species